ACCACCCACGUGCUCUAUUAGCGCCAUUCAAGAGUACGGGGUUGUGCAGUGAGCAACAGCGCCCCCUUUCACCGCCCCGUCUAGCUGCCCUUUAACUGCAGGGGCGCGAGUUACACCAUAGAGCGUCACUGAUGUGUGAGCGAAAGACAGCAAACACUCGGGGAAAGCAGUCCACCAUGGCCAGCAUUGAAGUGGAGGAGGACAGUGAGCUGGAAACGCCUCUCUUCAGGCAGUACCAUGCCAGCGAAAUGCUUCCAAGCAAGAAGCUUCCACUCCACAAUCUGCUUGUGAAACAGCCCAUGUCCAUGGGGUUUUUCAUUUCAGGACUGUUGUCUUUCCUGCUGUUCAAAUUUCCUGUACUGCUGCCUAUUUCUUACACUGUCAACAUUGGCAGUCUGGUUGUUGCAGUCACUGGAAUGGUGCUGCUGACUUUUGAUUUGUUCUCCUGGAAGUCAAGUAAUAGUCAAUACGAGGACUACAACCGGGUGACAGCCCUCAUCCUGACUGUGACUCUGCUGGAGAUUUGCAUCACCGCUGUGCUUCUGCGAUGGCUGCAUGUGGAGUACAAGGGGGGCUCGGUGGCUUCGAAAAACUCGAGUGGCUCUUGAGUCGAAGAGCUGGAGAGAUCAUUGUUAGCGUUGCACCUUUGCCACAGGGUGCUCGUCUGUAAACUCAGUGGCCUUUACUGCAAACGCUUUUAUGCUGUGUAUUUCAGCUCGCCAGCAUUCACUGAUCGUUUCAAAAAUCUGAAUUUUAAGCCAGAAGAUUUUAAAAUGUAUUUUCUCAAUUAAAAUUAUAUCUAUCGAAACAGUAGCUUUUUUAGGAUUUCCAUUUUAAGUGGUUAAAUAACCCAUUUUUCAUUGAUCCUGUGUGAGAGACUAGGAAUGAAAGGUUAAAAGCUGUUGUGACUGUUGACUGUAUGCUGCAUUAUCAAUUGUUAUUCAGCUGCUCAAGAAGCAUAUAUAUAUAUAUUUUUUUUUAAUAAAGACCAAGUAAUGGGUCCUUUUAAGAACUUU
rnacentral:lncRNA from 1 species